rnacentral:rRNA from 1 species
UACGAAGGGGGCUAGCGUUGUUCGGAUGUACUGGGCGUAAAGCGCGUGUAGGCGGAUCGUUAAGUCGGGGGUGAAAGCCCAGAGCUCAACUCUGGAAUUGCCUUCGAUACUGGCGGUCUGGAGCAGAGAAGAGGCGAGUGGAAUUCCGAGUGUAGAGGUGAAAUUUGUAGAUAUUCGGAGGAACACCAGUGACGAAUGCGGCUCUCUGGUCUCUUGCUGAAGCUGAGACUCGAUAGCGUGGGGAGCAAACAGG